rnacentral:rRNA from 1 species
AUGGCCGCAAAAGACGGAGAAACAUGGGAAAGACUAGAGCCAGCUACUACGCCACAGGUUCAUCCGUGGCCUGCACCGCCUCGUGAUAUGGCUGCUCUGUCUGUUGAUGGAGCGUUCUUGGAGAAAAAUGGUACGGUGGUGGUGGGAAUGAUUCUUCGAAGACACGACGGAUCUGUCAUCUUCUCAGCGUAUCGCUAUUUAUUCAACUGCAGUGACACACUGAAGACUGAGAUUCAUGCGUUGAUGAUUUGUAUGGCGCUUGCUCAUCAGCACACGGAGCUACCGGAUCAUGGUGUAUGUACACCCAAGAACCAAAGGGUAUUUCCCCGCAAAAGGAACCAUACUUUACCUGGUCGACUUAACUUUGGAACUAGCUAG